UACAUUUACCUAUAAAUACAAUCACCCAAAUCAAAAUCACAAAACACAGGGAGAAAGAUAGAAACUAUAUACAGAGCAACACCCAGAAAAGAUUUAAACCCAGAUCGAAUAGCAAACCUUACCUAUUCCAAUCUGAGGGAAGCGAGGAGAGCGAGAGACGAAGAAGGAAUAAGGACUGAUUAAGGAGAUAGAGAGAGUCGGUGGCUGAGUUCAAUAGAAGAAAUAAAAGGAAGAGAAAGACGCAGUAAUGACGUGGCCACACAACAACAGCCAAGAACAUCAGGUAAGUGGUGGCAAUAAUGUAAAUAAACGCAAAAUAGGGGCAAAACUGUAAAAGUAUGCGGUCCUUAGCUACAGUAACUCAACUUUAGUAUAUAGUAAAUUUGUCUACUCUGCCAUAGACGCCGUUAAGUACGUUCAUCCAACUCCAAGGUAAAAAUAAAACCAUGAUUUACCUGGCCUUUUCCUCUUCAUCUUCUUCUUUCAUCCUUGCCAUCUCUCUCUGUUUCCUUCUCUUUUCAUCCUUGAUCUUAUUAUAUGUUUUAAUUGAGAGGUGAGGUUUCCUCUAUUUGUCAAGAAGAUUUCAAUGUCUUUCUUCAGACAAUGUUAGUCUUGUAAUAUAGAUUUUGGGUCGAGACCCGAUUCUUUUGGGUUCUUCAUUGUACUGCGAGACAAGCUAACGGAAGAGCCGGUGAGACAAACUUGCAGCCUCAAACCUUUCCUCAUUUCUUGCUAUUGCAAGCUUUGAUGGAAAUUUUCAUUUGGGUAAAAUAUUGUAUAGUCCUUGUGGUUUAAAAUCGAUAUCUGUUUAGUCUUUAUGGUUUUAUUUUAAUCUAAAUAGUCCUUAAAGUCACGUUUUUUUAUCCAAAUAGUCCUUAUGGUUUUAUUUCAAUCUGAAUAGUUCUUAAAGUCAUGAUUUUUUAUCCAAAUAGUCCUUAUGCCUUUUAACUGAGAAAAUUGUCAGAAUGACUAUUUAGAUGAAAAAUCAUGACUUUAAGGACUAUUCAGAUUAAAAUAAAAUCAUAAGGACUAUUUGGAUAAAAAAUUGUGACUUUAAUGACUAUCCAAAUUAAAAUAAAACCACAAUGACUAAACAGAUAUCGACUUCAAACCACAAUGACUAAACAAAUUUCAAUUCUUUUCAUUUUAUUCCCAAAAUUAUGCCUACAAUGUAUUUGAUGGUAAAAGUAAAUCUGUGUUACUGUAUGGUGAAGGUUUGUUUCAAAUUUUCAACAGCUCUAGCAUUCAUAUUUUGAAUUCUAACUCUCAU
rnacentral:lncRNA from 1 species